rnacentral:rRNA from 1 species
AUUGAACGCUGGCGGCAGGCCUAACACAUGCAAGUCGAACGAGUGGCGGACGGGUGAGUAAUAUCUGGGAAACUGCCUGAGGGAGGGGGAUAAAUACUGGAACCGGUAGCUAAUACCGCAUACUCUCGGGUGUGCCCAGAUGGGAUUAGCUAGUAGGUGGGGUAAAGGCUCACCUAGGCGACGAUCCCUAGCUGGUCUGAGAGGAUGACCAGCCACACUGGGACUGAGACACGGUCCAGACUCCUACGGGAGGCAGCAGUGGGGAAUAUUGCACAAUGGGCGCAAGCCUGAUGCAGCCAUGCCGCGUGUAUGAAGAAGGCCGUCGGGUUGUAAAGUACUUUCAGCCGGGAGGCGUUACCCGCAGAAGAAGCACCGGCUAACUCCGUGCCAGCAGCCGCGGUAAUAC